AAGAAUCAGAAGGAGCACAAAGGUAAAGUAGGAGAAGGAGCAGAAAGGGUCUGCAAGGAGCAGAAAGGGAUCAGAAAGAGAAAGGAGCAGAAGGGGAAGCACAAUAAGCAGAAAGUAGCAGAAAGGUGAAGGAGCCAAGGAGGAGAGAAGACAGUGUCAGAAGAAAAAGAAGACUGUGUCAAAUGAAGGAGAAGAAAAGGAGAUUGGAGCAGGAAGG